rnacentral:tRNA from 1 species
UCCCAGUUGGUAGAGCGCUCCACUUGUAAUGGAGAGGUCCCGGGUUCGAUACCCGG